rnacentral:lncRNA from 1 species
UUUCAUUCAUUCAACAAAUAUUUAUUUACCAAGUAUCUGUGUGCCAGGCUCUCUGCUACUCUGAAACCUAACUUCCACCCAGAGUUUCACCCACAGAAACCUAACUUCCCUCCUCAUCGGCUAAUGCAUCUCAACCGUUCAUCUAGUAGGCAGUGAGCAUAGCUGGGGUGACCAUUUGUCAAAGUAUCUCCGAAACAGUCCCAGUUUACACCUAUUAUCCCAGUGUUAAUUAAUAAUAGCACCGCCUCAACAAUGCCCUAAUCUAGAGAAUUACAUAGUUCUAAGCACAGCAAAUCUCCUACAAACAGAUCGGGAUUCAAAUAUUUCAUUCUACAGUCUUGGGAUCCUCAAUGCAAGGGACAGGCUGUAAGCAAGGGUCUGGACAGCCCGGCUUGCCCUCUUGUCUCUCUGUCAUGCAGAGGAGCUGUAGUUCAGUUUUUGUUUUUUGUUUAUUUUACGGAGCACAUUUAAAGUAUAGUCUUCCUUGUCAGGAGAUUCCUGGCACUAAAGAGAUGGACGGGAAACUUAACCGCCUCCUCCAGAUCGUCCACUAUUGCAUCAUUUGAAACCAAAGCCUUCUAAAGGCAGCGACUCGCACAAUUCAAGUCAGGAAACUUCCAUAGAAGGUGAGAUUCCCAGGUCGAGGGAUGAUUCCACGAACACCCAGAGAGCCAGUGCCAGGACUUCAGGGUCAGACUUCGUAAAGCCCAGGCGUCGCUGGGCCGGCCCGGAACAGCUCAGAGCUGCGGGUCCUAUGGUCCCGCGCCCUCACGCCCAUCCAAGUGCUGGCAGGACGUGGGUCCUCCAUCCCCACGACUCGCGGGGCCGGCGCUCCGAACCUCGGCACUGCGUCCG